GAUGAACGCUGGCGGCGUGCCUAAUACAUGCAAGUCGAGCGGCAGCAUUACCUUCGGGUAGAUGGCGAGCGGCGGACGGGUGAGUAACGCGUAAGAAUGUACCCUAAAGUGAGGGAUAAGCCAUCGAAAGAUGGUCUAAUACCGCAUAUGAUCUACGGAUUAAAGCAGCAAUGUGCUUUGGGAACAGCUUGCGUCUGAUUAGCUAGUUGGUAAGGUAAUGGCUUACCAAGGCGACGAUCAGUAACUGGUCUGAGAGGAUGACCAGUCACACUGGGACUGAGACACGGCCCAGACUCCUACGGGAGGCAGCAGUGGGGAAUAUUGGACAAUGGGGGCAACCCUGAUCCAGCAAUGCCGCGUGUGUGAAGAAGGCCUGCGGGUUGUAAAGCACUUUUAGUGAUGAGGAAGGUAAUUGUGUGAAUAGCAUGAUUAUUUGACGUUAGUCACAGAAAAAGCACCGGCUAACUCUGUGCCAGCAGCCGCCGUAA
rnacentral:rRNA from 1 species